rnacentral:rRNA from 1 species
AUUGAACGCUGGCGGCAUGCCUUACACAUGCAAGUCGAACGGUAACGCGGGGCAACCUGGCGACGAGUGGCGAACGGGUGAGUAAUAUAUCGGAACGUGCCCAAUAGUGGGGGAUAGCCCGGCGAAAGCCGGAUUAAUACCGCAUACGACCUGAGGGUGAAAGCGGGGGAUCGCAAGACCUCGCGCUAUUGGAGCGGCCGAUAUCAGAUUAGGUAGUUGGUGGGGUAAAGGCCUACCAAGCCUACGAUCUGUAGCUGGUCUGAGAGGACGACCAGCCACACUGGGACUGAGACACGGCCCAGACUCCUACGGGAGGCAGCAGUGGGGAAUUUUGGACAAUGGGCGCAAGCCUGAUCCAGCCAUGCCGCGUGCGGGAAGAAGGCCUGGUU